ACAAUUUCAACUUUGAUCAUAUUAAAAGAAUAAUCAGUAUUUCUGUGUUAAUUUUUUUUUUUUUAUUUUAAAAAAUUUAACUAUUUAAUUAAAAUUUAUCUUGAAUAGACACAUUUCUACUCAGUUGACUAUUGACAUACAAGGUGAUCCAUUUACACUCAUUAUCUCGGGAAGUAUUUACUUUUUCCAGAAUUUGUUUUCUAGAACAUUUAAGAAACAAGAUGUUCUACAAUCUAUGUUAUGCCACUCUUAAUUUCGGGAGUAAAACCACUAUCUACUUUUGAUUUUUAAAUGGUCAUCUAUAUCAAAAAUUCCAUAAAUAGAUGGAGUAUUGAUUAAAAUAAAUUUUUGAUUUCUGUCAAUCCGUUGACAAGAUAUUCCACUUAAAGGUUUGGGUUAGAGGAGAGUAGUGGAGUAUCAUUUAUGUGGCAGUACGGCGCGUUUAAAUAAUAAUACGUGUUAAUAAUACAUGACAAAUGCCGUCAACGGCUGGAUAGAAAUCAAAAAUGUUUAUUUACUUUUUUAUAUAGGUUGCCAUUUGGAAAUUAAAGUAGAUAGUGGUUUUACCCCAAAAAUAACAUAAAUAUAAAAUUGAAAAGCUGUUUGUUUCUUAAAUGUUCUAGAAAACAAAUUAAUACUUUCACCUACAAAUUACUUGUGUAAUCACUUAAAGAUCACCUGGUACAUCAAUCAAC